UACGUAGGGUGCGAGCGUUGCCCGGAUUUAUUGGGCGUAAAGGGCGCGUAGGCGGCCACGCACGUCCGUUGUGAAAUCGCCCGGCUCAACUGGGCGGGGUCAGCGGAUACGGUGUGGCUAGAGCAAGCUAGGGGGCAAUGGAAUUCCCGGUGUGAGUGGUGGAAUGCGUAGAUAUCGGGAGGAACACCAGUGGCGAAGGCGGUUGCCUGGAGCUUUGCUGACGCUGAUGCGCGAAAGCGUGGGGAGCGAUCCGG
rnacentral:rRNA from 1 species